rnacentral:rRNA from 1 species
GAUGAACGCUGGCGGCGUGCCUAAUACAUGCAAGUCGAGCGAACAGAUAAGGAGCUUGCUCCUUUGACGUUAGCGGCGGACGGGUGAGUUACACGUGGAUAACCUACCUAUAAGACUGGGAUAACUUCGGGAAACCGGAGCUAAUACCGGAUAACAUAUUGAACCGCAUGGUUCAAUAGUGAAAGGCGGCUUUGCUGUCACUUAUAGAUGGAUCCGCGCCGUAUUAGCUAGUUGGUAAGGUAACGGCUUACCAAGGCAACGAUACGUAGCCGACCUGAGAGGGUGAUCGGCCACACUGGAACUGAGACACGGUCCAGACUCCUACGGGAGGCAGCAGUAGGGAAUCUUCCGCAAUGGGCGAAAGCCUGACGGAGCAACGCCGCGUGAGUGAUGAAGGUCUUCGGAUCGUAAAACUCUGUUAUCAGGGAAGAACAAAUGUGUAAGUAACUGUGCACAUCUUGACGGUACCUGAUCAAAAAGCCACGGCUAACUACGUG